rnacentral:rRNA from 1 species
UCAAGUAAAAUAAGGGUAUUUGGUGGAUGCCUUGGCACUGAGAGGCGAUGAAGGACGUGUUACGCUGCGAUAAGCUACGGGGAGGUGCGAAAAACCUUUGAUCCGUAGAUGUCCGAAUGGGGAAACCCACCGUGCAAACGGUAUUGCUAUGUGAAUACAUAAGAUAGCAAAGCGAACCCGGCGAACUGAAACAUCUAAGUAGCCGGAGGAAAAGAAAUCAAUUGAGAUUCCGCUAGUAGUGGCGAGCGAACGCGGAAGAGGCCUGUGGCUUAUAGGCUCAAACUGGAAUGACAUGGGAAGGUCAACGAUACAGGGUUAAAGUCCCGUACAGGUAAAGAGUAUAUGAGUCCUUGAGUAGGGCGGGGCACGUGAAAUCCUGUCUGAACAUGGGGGGACCACCCUCCAAGCCUAAGUACUCCUCAGUGACCGAUAGUGAACGAGUACCGUGAGGGAAAGGUGAAAAGAACCCCGAUGAGGGGAGUGAAAUAGAUCCUGAAACCGAAUACUUACAAGCAGUCGGAGCAGACAAGUUCUGUGACGGCGUACCUUUUGUAUAAUGGGUCAGCGACUUAGUCUAUAGUGCAAGCUUAAGCCGAUAGGUGUAGGCGCAGCGAAAGCGAGUCUGAAUAGGGCGAUGAGUACUAUGGAUUAGACCCGAAACCGAGUGAUCUAGGUAUGGGCAGGUUGAAGGCGCGGUAACACGCGCUGGAGGACCGAACCCACUGAUGUUGCAAUAUCAGGGGAUGACCUGUGCCUAGGGGUGAAAGGCCAAUCAAACUCGGAAAUAGCUGGUUCUCCGCGAAAGCUAUUUAGGUAGCGCGUCGUAUAUAACUACCGGGGGUAGAGCACUGAAUGGGCUAGGGGGGCUCGCGCCUUACCAAACCCAAUUAAACUCCGAAUACCGGUAAGUUUGAGUACGGCAGACAGUCCAUGGGUGCUAAGGUCCAUGGACAAGAGGGAAACAGCCCUGACCACCAGCUAAGGUCCCUAAGUUAUGAUUAAGUGGGAAAGGAAGUGGGAAGGCCAUGACAGCCAGGAGGUUGGCUUAGAAGCAGCCAUCCUUUAAAGAAAGCGUAAUAGCUCACUGGUCUAGUUAAGCUAGCCUGCGCCGAAAAUGUAACGGGGCUAAAAUCAUACACCGAAGCUGUGGAAUGAUCAUUUAUGAUCAUUGGUAGCGGAGCGUUCCGUAGACCGCUGAAGGGUGACCCGCGAGGGCAUCUGGAGGUAUCGGAAGUGAGAAUGCUGACAUGAGUAGCGUUAAAAAGUGUGAGAAACACUUUCGCCGAAAGUCCAAGGGUUCCUGCGCAAGGUUAAUCCACGCAGGGUUAGUCGGCCCCUAAGGCGAGGCCGAAAGGCGUAGUCGAUGGGAAUCAGGUUAAUAUUCCUGAACUAGCUGGAUGUGACGAAGGCUUAAGGUUGUAUAUUCUGAUUGGAUUGAGUAUGCAGCUGCGGACUUCCAGGAAAUAGCACCAGCAUGAAACCGUACCCGAAACCGACACUGGUGGACUGGUAGAGUAUACCAAGGCGUAGAGAGAAUGAUGUUGAAGGAACUCGGCAAAAUGCCUCUGUAACUUCGGGAGAAAGAGGGCCUCCUAUUGGGCAACCAGUAGGAGGUGGCACAGACUAGGGGGUGGCGACUGUUUAUCAAAAACACAGGACUCUGCUAAGUCGAAAGACGAUGUAUAGGGUCUGACGCCUGCCCGGUGCCGGAAGGUUAAGAGGAAGGGUGAGAGCUCUGAAUUGAAGCCCCGGUAAACGGCGGCCGUAACUAUAACGGUCCUAAGGUAGCGAAAUUCCUUGUCGGGUAAGUUCCGACCUGCACGAAUGGCGUAACGACUUCCCCGCUGUCUCCAACAUCAACUCAGCGAAAUUGAAUUCCCCGUGAAGAUGCGGGGUACCCGCGGUUAGACGAGAAGACCCCGUGCACCUUUACUACAACUUUGCAUUGACAUUAGGAAUAACAUGUGCAGGAUAGGUGGGAGACUUUGAAACCAAAACGCCAGUUUUGGUGGAGUCACCCUUGAGAUACCACCCUUGUUAUUUUUGAUGUCUAACCACAACCUGUUAUCCAGGUUUGGGACAUUGCAUGGUGGGUAGUUUGACUGGGGCGGUCGCCUCCUAAAGCGUAACGGAGGCGUGCGAAGGUAGGCUCAAGCUGGUCGGAAAUCAGCUGUAGAGUAUAAUGGCAUAAGCCUGCCUGACUGCGAGACUGACAAGUCGAGCAGAGACGAAAGUCGGCCAUAGUGAUCCGGUGGCUCCAAGUGGAAGGGCCAUCGCUCAACGGAUAAAAGGUACGCCGGGGAUAACAGGCUUAUCUCCCCCAAGAGCUCACAUCGACGGGGAGGUUUGGCACCUCGAUGUCGACUCAUCACAUCCUGGGGCUGAAGCAGGUCCCAAGGGUUUGGCUGUUCGCCAAUUAAAGUGGUACGUGAGUUGGGUUCAGAACGUCGCGAGACAGUUCGGUUUCUAUCUGCCGUGGGUGUUGGAAAACUGAGAGGACCUGUCCCUAGUACGAGAGGACCGGGAUGGACGUACCUCUGGUGUACCGGUUGUAUUGCCAAAUGCACCGCCGGGUAGCUAAGUACGGAAAAGAUAACCGCUGAAAGCAUCUAAGCGGGAAGCUUGCCUCAAAACGAGUUUUCCCUAUCAGAGCCGUUGAAGACGACAACGUUGAUAGGUUCGGUGUGGAAGCGUGGUAACACGUGAAGCUAACGAAUACUAAUCGCUCGAUCGACUUGAUUCG